rnacentral:rRNA from 1 species
GAACGUUGGCGGCGUGGAUUAGGCAUGCAAGUCGAACGAGAAAGGUCUUUUCGGAGACCGAGUACAGUGGCGGACGGGUGAGUAAUGCAUAGAUAACCUGCCCUCGAGACGGGGACAACGCCUCGAAAGGGGUGCUAAUACCCGAUGCCGCCUCGGCCUUGCGAGGUCGAGGUGAAAGGAGGCCUCUGAUUUAAGCUUCUGCUCAAGGAGGGGUUUAUGUGCUAUUAGCUUGUUGGUGAGGUAAAAGCUCACCAAGGCUACGAUGGCUAGCCGGCCUGAGAGGGUGACCGGCCACAUUGGGACUGAGACACUGCCCAGACUCCUACGGGAGGCUGCAGUCGAGAAUCUUCCGCAAUGCGCGAAAGCGUGACGGAGCGACGCCGCGUGGGUGAUGAAGGCCUUCGGGUUGUAAAGCCCUGUCAGCUAUUAUGAAUCGCGGGCGGUGAAUAGCCGUCCCGUCUGACAAAAGUAGCAAAGGAAGCACCGGCUAACUACGUG